UUUCCGUAGGUGAACCUGCGGAAGGAUCAUUACAGUAGUCGCCCGGGUUGCCGCAAGGCCUCCCGGGUAACCUACCACCCUUUGUUUAUUACACUUUGUUGCUUUGGCAAGCCUGCCCUCGGGCUGCUGGCUCCGGCCGGCGAGCGCUUGCCAGAGGACCUAAACUCUGUUUGUCUAUACUGUCUGAGUACUAUAUAAUAGUUAAAACUUUCGACAACGGAUCUCUUGGUUCUG
rnacentral:misc_RNA from 1 species